rnacentral:rRNA from 1 species
AGGAAGUUUGGAUCCCUGGCGUCACGGGAUGAACGCUGGCGGCGUGCCUAACACAUGCAAGUCGAACGGAGUUACGAUGAAACCUAGUGAUUCGUAACUUAGUGGCGGACGGGUGAGUAACGCGUGGAUAACCUGCCUUGCGACUGGGGGAUAACACUUAGAAAUAGGUGCUAAUACCGCAUAAGCGCACGGAGCCGCAUGGCUCAGUGUGAAAAACUCCGGUGGUGUAAGAUGGAUCCGCGUCUGAUUAGCUGGUUGCGGGGUAGAAGCCCACCAAGGCGACGAUCAGUAGCCGGCCUGAGAGGGUGAACGGCCACAUUGGGACUGAGACACGGCCCAAACUCCUACGGGAGGCAGCAGUGGGGAAUAUUGCACAAUGGGGGAAACCCUGAUGCAGCAACGCCGCGUGAGUGAAGAAGUCAUUCGUGAUGUAAAGCUCUACCAGCAGGGAAGAAAAUGACGGUACCUGAGUAAGAAGCCCCGGCUAACUACGUA